UACGUAGGGAGCAAGCGUUGUCCGGAAUCAUUGGGCGUAAAGCGCACGUAGGCGGCUUCUUAAGUCAGGGGUGAAAUCCUGGAGCUCAACUCCAGAACUGCCUUUGAUACUGAGAGCUUGAGUCCGGGAGAGGUGAGUGGAACUGCGAGUGUAGAGGUGAAAUUCGUAGAUAUUCGCAAGAACACCAGUGGCGAAGGCGGAGCU
rnacentral:rRNA from 1 species